rnacentral:rRNA from 1 species
AACGAACGCUGGCGGCGUGGAUUAGGCAUGCAAGUCGAACGCGAAAGAGGGGGUAACUCCUCGAGUAGAGUGGCGAACGGGUGAGUAACACGUGAGAAACCUGCCUUCAGCAGGGGGAUAACACUCCCAACGGGGUGCUAAUACCGCAUGAGACCACGGAUUCGCAUGGAUCUGGGGUCAAAGGUGGCCUCUGCUUGCAAGCCUACCGGCUGAAGAUGGUCUCGCGCCCAUUAGCUAGUUGGUGGGGUAAUGGCCCACCAAGGCGACGAUGGGUAGGCUGGUCUGGAGAGGAUGGUCAGCCACACUGGGACUGAGAUACGGCCAGACUCCUACGGGAGCAGCAGUCGAGAGGCUUUGGC